CCUACGGGAGACAGCAGUGAGGAAUAUUUGUCAAUGGCCGCAGGGCUGAACCAGCCAAGUAGCGUGAAGGAUGACGGUCCUAUGGAUUGUAAACUUCUUUUGUCAGGGAGUAAAGUGCGCCACGUGUGGCUUUUUGCGUGUACCUUAUGAAUAAGCAUCGGCUAACUCCGUGCCAGCAGCCGCGGUAAUACGGAGGAUCCGAGCGUUAUCCGGAUUUAUUGGGUUUAAAGGGUGCGUAGGUGGAAUGUCAAGUCAGUUGUAAAAUUUCGGGGCUAAACCCAAACUUGCCGUUGAAACUGGGAGUCUUGAGUACACUAGAAGUAGGCGGAAUGCGUGGUGUAGCGGUGAAAUGCAUAGAUAUCACGCAGAACUCCGAUUGCGAAGGCAGCAUAC
rnacentral:rRNA from 1 species